GGUUCAGCGAGGGUUCGGACUUCAUCUUUCCGGUUCGUCCCCUAAAUGAAACAAGCCUCGAUACGCGCUUUGCGGAAACGCCCCUUCCAUUACCCGAUACAUGCUUUGAAGAUUCGGCACACACAAGGAGUCGAAGUCUACACUUGAGAAUGUGCUCAUGGACAUUGUGCAUGACUACUGUAUGCCGAAACAGCCUAUCUUAGCUGUUGUGGAAGGAGACUUUCCUCCAUUGCCUUGUUCAACGUCGAAGCCACCAGCGCCAAAGAAAACGUCUGGGCCAACUGAAGAAUGAUGAAUCCAGACCUCGAGGGAUUAUUCUCCAGUUGACAUCGUGACUCAACCGAGAUGGAGUUUUGUAAGCCUGCGAAAAAGUCCAGCUUCCUCCAAAGCAACAACAUGUGGUUUGCAGAGGAUUUGUCUCCAUCUAUCAGAGAGAGAAGAAGGCAGCUCUGGCCACUGGUGGUGAAGGCACGUGAGCAAGGAAAGACUGCUAAUUUCAUCGGCGGGUGAGCCUUUGUCAACGUGACUGAACUGGUUCUUGCUACUUAAAAAAUAUUUCCCUUUGUUAGAAAACUUUUCACAAUUUUUUUAAGAAGGUGCUUUUAUUUAAACCUAAAGCACAACCUUUGCGAUUCAAAUGUAAAUUUUUGGUGACAAAGUCAAUCAUUUUAUGUUAAUUUGAUACAUAAUCUUUGACAGUGUUUGUCAAUUAUCGCGAAAGGCCUUAUUUUUCAAAAUCCUAUACCUGUUGAUUUUGUAAUGUUUACUGCUGUGUUAAGCACUUCAUUGCUAUUCGUGUUCUAAGUAUUAGUAAAAAGGGCAACAAUUUACCUUUAAAUUCCUUCAGCUCAGUAUUUUUUGCACACUAUUCUAAUAAGAGCUGAUUGACUGCUUAAGCUUCUAUGAACAAAUUAUGCUUAUUUAGACUUGUACUAUUACUAUUAUUACUACUUAUAGAUAUUAUAAUGGUCCAGCCC